ACUUGGUCAUUUAGAGGAAGUAAAAGUCGUAACAAGGUCUCCGUUGGUGAACCAGCGGAGGGAUCAUUACCGAGUUAUUCAACUCAUCAACCCUGUGAACUUACCUAUACGUUGCUUCGGCGGGAAUAGACGGCCCCGUAAAACGGGCCGCCCCCGCCAGAGGACCCUUAACUCUGUUUCUUUUAGUGCAUCUUCUGAGUAAAACAAGCAAAUAAAUUAAAACUUUCAACAACGGAUCUCUUGGCUCUGGCAUCGAUGAAGAACGCAGCGAAAUGCGAUAAGUAAUGUGAAUUGCAGAAUUCAGUGAAUCAUCGAAUCUUUGAACGCACAUUGCGCCCGCCAGUAUUCUGGCGGGCAUGCCUGUUCGAGCGUCAUUACAACCCUCAGGCCCCCGGGCCUGGCGUUGGGGAUCGGCGGAGCCCCCCGUGGGCACACGCCGUCCCCCAAAUACAGUGGCGGUCCCGCCGCAGCUUCCAUCGCGUAGUAGCUAACACCUCGCGACUGGAGAGCGGCGUGGCCACGCCGUAAAACACCCAACUCUUCUGAAGUUGACCUCGAAUCAGGUAGGAAUACCCGCUGAACUUAAGCAUAUCAAUAAGCGGAGGAAGCUGGAGUGCCUAC
rnacentral:rRNA from 1 species